AGCCCGCGGGCGUUGUAAUUUGCAGGCGGAUGUUUUGGGGCGGGCGCUGUCUACGUUCCUUGGAACAGGACGCCGCAGAGGGUGAGAGCCCCGUGCGAUGGCGCCUCUAACCGCGUAAAACUCCGCCGACGAGUCGAGUUGUUUGGGAAUGCAGCUCCAAGUGGGUGGUAAAUUCCAUCUAAAGCUAAAUACUGGCGAGAGACCGAUAGCGAACAAGUACAGUGAUGGAAAGAUGAAAAGCACUUUGAAAAGAGAGUGAAACAGCACGUGAAAUUGUUGAAAGGGAAGGGUAUGCGAUUAGCGGCCAGCAGGAGGUGCCUUCUCGUGAAAAGGCCGUGCACCGUCUUCGGACACCGUGCGCGGAGAUGGCGAGGGGGCGCCUGAGGUCUGCGAACUCGAGGUUGCUGGCGUAAUGAUUGCAUACCACCCGUCUUGAACCACGGACC
rnacentral:rRNA from 1 species